rnacentral:rRNA from 1 species
UACGUAGGGGGCAAGCGUUGUCCGGAUUUAUUGGGCGUAAAGAGCGUGUAGGCGGCCAGACAGGUCAGCUGUGAAAACUCGAGGCUCAACCUCGAGACGUCGGUUGAAACCGCUUGGCUAGAGUCCGGAAGAGGAGAGUGGAAUUCCCGGUGUAGCGGUGAAAUGCGCAGAUAUCGGGAAGAACACCCGUGGCGAAGGCGGCUCUCUGGGACGGUACGUGACGCUGAGACGCGAAAGCGUGGGAGCGAACGAGGAU